ACAGUGACUCAUGAGCAGAA
rnacentral:misc_RNA from 1 species